rnacentral:rRNA from 1 species
UACGUAGGGUGCAAGCGUUAAUCGGAAUUACUGGGCGUAAAGCGUGCGUAGGCGGCUCUUUAAGUCAGAUGUGAAAGCCCCGGGCUUAACCUGGGAACUGCGUUAGAAACUGGGGAGCUGGAGUGUAGAAGAGGGGGGUGGAAUUCCAGGUGUAGCAGUGAAAUGCGUAGAUAUCUGGAGGAACACCGAUGGCGAAGGCAGCCCCCUGGGCUAACACUGACGCUCAUGCACGAAAGCGUGGGGAGCAAACAGG